GGCCCCAUCGUCUAACGGUUAGGACAUGGGCUUUUCAAGCCCAGAAUCGGGGUUCGAUUCCCCGUGGGGUCA
rfam:Parcubacteria bacterium GW2011_GWA1_47_8 TY07_C0023, whole genome shotgun sequence.